UACGUAGGGGCCUAGCGUUGUCCGGAUUUAUUGGGCGUAAAGAGCUCGUAGGCGGUUUGUCGCGUCUGCUGUGAAAACUCGGGGCUUAACCCCGGGCCUGCAGUGGGUACGGGCAGACUAGAGUGCGGUAGGGGAGACUGGAAUUCCUGGUGUAGCGGUGAAAUGCGCAGAUAUCAGGAGGAACACCGGUGGCGAAGGCGGGUCUCUGGGCCGUAACUGACGCUGAGGAGCGAAGGCGUGGGGAGCGAACAGG
rnacentral:rRNA from 1 species